CCUCUACAAAGAAAGUAGGAAUCCGUUAUGUAAUCAUUUAUUUUAAAAUGUUAAUGGUGUUUUACUAAGACUCAAGACAUCUGAUCCACUAAUGUCCUCAAGUUUCUGCCAAGGUGACAUCAUAAUGACCACAGAUGGUCCUUUGGGAGAUGGAUAUCACUUACUCAGGAAGAGAAUGCAGUAUAUUUUCAGCUCAGAUUUCUUAGCAACAUAAGGAAUUAAUUUGGAAACCUGUGUCCCCAAUGGCACUCCUAGUGACCCUCAAAUGGACCCUAAUGCCAUCCUUUGAGAUGAAAGAGGGACUCUCAAAAACUGACCCUCUCUCAACUCUUGCCCAGCUCCUGGCACAAGUAAAUAGCUAAGUGCACGUUUAUGUUUUAUCACAGCGUGAGGGGCAUUUGGGGCGAAAACCAUAUAUUUGAAGCAAUUUAGAAACUCAUCUUAGGCAAUUUGCCAGAGAGUUAAAACAUUAAACGAUUCCUUUUAGGUGCUCCAUAUCAUCACUUACUGUUUUAGCAAUGAGUCGAUGGAGGAUUGCAAGGCUCCCUCUGCUCCUAUCCCCCACUUGCUCAUUCUCUCUUUCAAAAUAAAUGAAAUAAACUUUUAAAAAAUUGCUAUGAUUUUACUUCUCUCUAGAUAAUAAAAUGGCGACACGUAUCAACAUGGAUAGAUCUCAAAAACAUAAUGUGAGGUGAAAAAGGCAAGCGUCAGAAUAAUGUAUUCAAAAUAAGAGCAUCUAUUUAGUUUAUCUCUUAUUUCUGAGUACAAAAGUGUAGUAAAAUGAAGACUGGGAGGGUGUGCACUCAGGAGAGUGACCAUCUCUAAGGAGGGAAGAAAAUGGAACUGAAAAGAGAACAGAAGACCUACAUUUUAUCUGUGCUAUUUUAUGUGUGUUAUUAGAAUAUAUAAAGCAAACAUUACCAUGCUAUGGACUGAAUGUGUUCCUCCAAAUUCAUAUGUUGAGAUUCUAAUCCCCAGUGAGGUGAUGUUAGGGGCUGGGGCCUUCGGCAGGUAGUGGGGUCAUGAGGAUGGAGCCCUUGUGGAUGCAACUGGUGCCCUUAUUAAACACACACACAGACUUGACUUUGCUUUCUCCCUCUGCUCCCUGCCGUGUGAGGACACAAUGAACCAGACUGUCAUCUGCAAGACUGUCAUCACUCUGGAUCUGCUGGUGCCUUGA